UUGAAAGGGAAACGAUUGAAGUCAGUCGUGCUGGCGCGAAAUCAACCUUCUCGUCUUGAGAUCACAUGGCGUGGCGAGCCUCAAAACCGUCACGAAGCGUGAACUCUUGGUGAAAUGGAGCACUUUCGUGUCCGCUGGUUAACAUCAAUUUCGAACGUCAUAAAAAGGCUGGAGGGAUGUGGCUCCUUCGGGAGUGUUACAACCUUUAGCGGAAUGUGGUGUUCGGGAUUGAGGAUUGCAACGAAUACCUUUAGGGCUGUUCCACCUGGCUUCUCUUUGGUAUCCUGGUGACGACAGCUUGCUGACGUCGUUAGGAUUCGCCUUUGAACAGGUUAGAGUGUGAGCAAAUUCGUUAAGGAUGUUGACGUA
rnacentral:rRNA from 1 species